rnacentral:rRNA from 1 species
GACGAACGCUGGCGGCGUGCUUAACACAUGCAAGUCGAACGGAAAGGCCCUGCUUUUGUGGGGUGCUCGAGUGGCGAACGGGUGAGUAACACGUGAGUAACCUGCCCUUGACUUUGGGAUAACUUCAGGAAACUGGGGCUAAUACCGGAUAGGAGCUCCUGCUGCAUGGUGGGGGUUGGAAAGUUUCGGCGGUUGGGGAUGGACUCGCGGCUUAUCAGCUUGUUGGUGGGGUAGUGGCUUACCAAGGCUUGGACGGGUAGCCGGCCUGGGAGGGUGACCGGCCACAUUGGGACUGAGAUACGGCCCAGACUCCUACGGGAGGCAGCAGUGGGGAAUAUUGCGCAAUGGGCGGAAGCCGGAUGCAGCAACGCCGCGUGCGGGAUGACGGCCUUCGGGUUGUAAACCGCUUGCGCCUGUGACGAAGCGUGAGUGACGGUAAUGGGUAAAGAAGCACCGGCUAACUACGUG